rnacentral:rRNA from 1 species
UACAGAGGGUGCAAGCGUUGAUCGGAAUUAUUGGGCGUAAAGGGAGUGUAGGCGGUUUGUUAAGUCUUCUGUGAAAUCUACGGGCUUAGCCUGUAACGUGCAGAGGAAACUAGCAGGCUUGAGUGUCGGAGAGGAUAGGGGAAUUCCCGGUGUAGAGGUGAAAUUCGUAGAGAUCGGGAGGAACACCAGUGGCGAAGGCGCCUAUCUGGCUGACAACUGACGCUGAGACUCGAAAGCAUGGGGAGCAAACAGG